GACGAACGCUGGCGGCGUGCCUAAUACAUGCAAGUCGAGCGCAGGAAACUGACGGAACUCUUCGGAGGGAAGGCAGUGGAAUGAGCGGCGGACGGGUGAGUAACACGUAAGGAACCUGCCUCAAGGAUUGGGAUAACUCCGAGAAAUCGGAGCUAAUACCGGAUAGUUCGACGGACCGCAUGGUCCGUUGAUGAAAGGCGCUCCGGCGUCACCUUGAGAUGGCCUUGCGGUGCAUUAGCUAGUUGGUGGGGUAACGGCUCACCAAGGCGACGAUGCAUAGCCGACCUGGGAGGGUGAUCGGCCACACUGGGACUGAGACACGGCCAGACUCCUACGGGAGGCAGCAGUAGGGAAUCUUCCACAAUGGACGAAAGUCUGAUGGAGCAACGCCGCGUGAGUGAUGAAGGUUUUCGGAUCGUAAAACUCUGUUGUAAGGGAAGAACACGUACGAGAGGAAAUGCUCGUACCUUGACGGUACCUUACGAGAAAGCCACGGCUAACUACGUGCCAGCCGCCGCAGUAA
rnacentral:rRNA from 1 species